UAGAAAAUAAACUUUGCCCAAUCACAACUU
rnacentral:piRNA from 1 species